GAUGAAGAACGUAGCGAAACGCGAUAAGUAAUGUGAAUUGCAGAAUCCAGUGAAUCAUCGAAUCUUUGAACGCACAUUGCGCCCGCCAGCAUACUGGCGGGCAUGCCUGUUCGAGCGUCAUUUCAACCCUCGACCUCCCCUUGGGGAGGUCGGCGUUGGGGACCGGCAGCACACCGCCGGCCCUGAAAUGGAGUGGCGGCCCGUCCGCGGCGACCUCUGCGCAGUAAUACAGCUCGCACCGGGACCCCGACGCGGCCACGCCGUAAAACACCCAACUUCUGAACGUUGACCUCGAAUCAGGUAGGACUACCCGCUGAACUUAAGCAUAUCAAUAAGCGGAGGA
rnacentral:misc_RNA from 1 species